rnacentral:rRNA from 1 species
ACGCUCGACACCUACGGGAGCAGCAGUGGGGAAUAUUGGGCAAUGGGCGCAAGUCCUGACCCAGCAACGCCGCGUGAAGGAAGAAGGCCCUCGGGUUGUAAACUUCUUUUAUCAGGGACGAAGCAAGUGACGGUACCUGAUGAAUAAGCCACGGCUAACUACGUGCCCGCAGCCGCGGUAAUCUGAGCGGGCUGGCAAGGC